rnacentral:rRNA from 1 species
GUGCCAGCAGCCGCGGUAAGACGAGUCCGGCAAACGUUAUUCGGAAUUACUGGGCUUAAAGCGUGCGUAGGUGGUUCAGAGGGUUGGGAGUGAAAUCCCACGGCCUAACCGUGGAAUUGCUCUCAAAACCGCUGGACUUGAGGAGGUUAGAGGCGAGCGGAACUACGGGUGGAGCGGUGAAAUGCGUUGAUAUCCGUAGGAACACCGGUGGCGAAGGCGGCUCGCUGGGGCCUUUCUGACACUGAGGCACGAAAGCUAGGGUAGCGAACGGGAUUAGAUACCCCUGUAGUCC